GUCGAGGGGUACAUGAGAGCUUGCUCUUGAUGACGACCGGCGCACGGGUGCGUAACGCGUAUGCAACCUACCCACAACUGAGGCAUAGCCCGGAGAAAUCCGGAUUAAUACCUCAUAAUGCAGGGGUACCUCCUGGUACUAUUUGCUAAAGAUUUAUCGGUUGUGGAUGGGCAUGCGUCUGAUUAGUUUGUUGGUGAGGUAACGGCUCACCAAGACCACGAUCAGUAGGGGGUCUGAGAGGAUGAUCCCCCACACUGGCACUGAGAUACGGGCCAGACUCCUACGGGAGGCAGCAGUAGGGAAUAUUGGGCAAUGGGCGAAAGCCUGACCCAGCCAUGCCGCGUGAAGGAUGAAGGCCUUCUGGGUUGUAAACUUCUUUUAUAUAGGAAGAAAAAGGUCAUGCGUGACCAAUUGACGGUACUAUAUGAAUAAGCACCGGCUAACUCCGUG
rnacentral:rRNA from 1 species